rnacentral:rRNA from 1 species
GACGAACGCUGGCGGCGUGCCUAAUACAUGCAAGUUGAGCGCUGAAGGUUGGUACUUGUACCAACUGGAUGAGCAGCGAACGGGUGAGUAACGCGUGGGGAAUCUGCCUUUGAGCGGGGGACAACAUUUGGAAACGAAUGCUAAUACCGCAUAAAAACUUUAAACACAAGUUUUAAGUUUGAAAGAUGCAAUUGCAUCACUCAAAGAUGAUCCCGCGUUGUAUUAGCUAGUUGGUGAGGUAAAGGCUCACCAAGGCGAUGAUACAUAGCCGACCUGAGAGGGUGGUCGGCCACAUUGGGACUGAGACACGGCCCAAACUCCUACGGGAGGCAGCAGUAGGGAAUCUUCGGCAAUGGACGAAAGUCUGACCGAGCAACGCCGCGGGAGUGAAGAAGGGUUUCGGAUCGUAAAACUCGGUUGGUAGAGAAGAACGUUGGUGAGAGUGGAAAGCUCAUCAAGUGACGGUAACUACCCAGAAAGGGACGGCUAACUACGUG